UACAGAGGGUGCGAGCGUUAAUCGGAAUUACUGGGCGUAAAGCGCGCGUAGGCGGCUUUGCAAGCCGGAUGUGAAAUCCCCGGGCUUAACCUGGGAACUGCAUUCGGGACUGCAUUGCUAGAGUAUGGGAGAGGGAAGUGGAAUUUCAGGUGUAGCGGUGAAAUGCGUAGAUAUCUGAAGGAACAUCAGUGGCGAAAGCGACUUCCUGGACCAAUACUGACGCUCAUGUGCGAAAGCGUGGGGAGCAAACAGGAUUAGAAACCCG
rnacentral:rRNA from 1 species